UUCGUACGUUACACUGAACAG
rnacentral:miRNA from 1 species